GACAGUCACACAUUGGUUUUCGCACUUUAACUUAAGUUUAAGUGAAUGGAUCGCUAUGAAAUUUUACCAUAAGGUUCAAUACCACAAAAGGAAGGUGGGGAUUGAUUUUAGGGGUUAUGGUACCAACAGUUAAGGAAUUAGGGGCCAAAAAUAAGCAUUUUUGUAACUUCCAGACAUAACUUGUGUGUUAGUUUAUGGAUCUCUCUGACAUUGUACCACAAGGUUCCAUAUCACAAAGGAAAUGCUGGGAUUGAUUUUGGGGGUAAUUGCCUCCAAAUUUUAGGAAUUAGGGGCCAAAAAGGGGCAAAAAACAAGCAUUUUUCUAGUUUCAUGAUAAUAACUUGUGUGUAAGUGUAUGGAUAUCUCUGACAUUGUACCACAAGGUUCCAUAUCACAAAGGGAAUGCUGGGAUUGAUUUUGGGGGCAAUUGCCUCCAAAUUUUAGGAAUAAGGGGCCAAAAAGGGGCAAAAAACAAGCAUUUUUCUAGUUUCAUGACAAUAACUUGUGUUCAAGUGUAUGGAUCUUUAUGAAAUUGUACUACAAGGUUCCAUAUCACAAAGGGAAAGCUGGAAUUGAGUUUGGGGGGUAAUUGCCCAAAACGUUUAGGAAUAAGGGGCCAAAAAGGGGCCAAAAAUAAGCAUUUUUCUAGUUUCCAGACAAUAACUUGUGUUCAAGUGUAUGGAUCUUUCUGAAAUUGUACUGCAAGGUACCAUACCAAAAAAGGAAGGCUGGGAUUGAUUUUGGGGGUAAUUCCCUCAAAAUUUUAGGAAUUAGGGGCCAUAAAAGGGCAAAAAAAACAAGCAUUUUUCUAGUUUCAGGACAAUAACUUGUGUGUAAGUGUAUGGAUCUUUAUGAAAUUGUACUGCAAGGUUCAAUAUCACAAAGGGAAAGCUGGGUUUGAGUUUGGGGGUAAUGUAAUUGCCCUAAACGUUUAGGAAUUUGGGGGCAAAAAACAAGCAUUUUUCUAGUUUCCAGACAAUAACUUGUGUUCAAGUGUAUGGAUCUCUCUGAAAUUGUACUGCAAGGUACCAUACCACAAAGGGAAGG